AUAGAUACAGAAUAGGGGUGAA
rnacentral:miRNA from 1 species